rnacentral:lncRNA from 1 species
UCACGCCAGGCUCCUACAUCUCCUGGGACAGGCUGGGGUGGAGGCACUCAGGACUCACCGACUUGAUGGACGGGGGCGCAGACGUGCCCACAGCCCUUCCUCACGCACUGAUGUCCACUCCCACAGUCCCUGUCUUCUCUGCACUGAUGCAUAGUCUUCCUUCCCCACAGUCCCUGUCUUCUCUGCACUGGUGCUCGCAGGCCUCUGAUGAGAGGAAAGACUCGGUUAAAAGCUCUGAAGUCUUAUAAUCAGAAAAUAAGGUUUUAAUUGCAUUUACAGUAUCAUUCA